rnacentral:tRNA from 1 species
ACGCCCAUGGCUCAACUGGAUAGAGCGUCUGGCUACGGACCAGAAGGUUGGGGGUUCAAGUCCUCCUGGGCGUA